rnacentral:sRNA from 1 species
GACGCGCCACGCCCAGAGCACGAAGCUCAC